rnacentral:rRNA from 1 species
UGCCAGCCGCCGCGGUAAUACGGAGGGGGUUAGCGUUGUUCGGAAUUACUGGGCGUAAAGCGCGCGUAGGCGGUUUUGUAAGUCGGAUGUGAAAUCCCCGGGCUUAACCUGGGAACUGCACUCGAUACUGCAUAACUAGAGUAUGGUAGAGGGAAGUGGAAUUUCCGGUGUAGCGGUGAAAUGCGUAGAUAUCGGAAGGAACACCAGUGGCGAAGGCGACUUCCUGGGCCAAUACUGACGCUGAGACGCGAAAGCGUGGGGAGCAAACAGGAUUAGAUA